rnacentral:rRNA from 1 species
GAAUUUUAUAUAUUAAAUAAAUGAUAUAAAAUUUAUUUUAUUAUAUUUUAUUGGGAGGAUAUUUAAAUUAAUAAAACUUUAAUUAUAAAGUUACAUGGAUUAAUGAUAAAGAAUAAUGAAUAAGUAUAAUUUUUUUAAGAAUUAAUUACCUUAGGGAUAACAGCAUAAUAUUUUUUUGUAGUUCAUAUAUAAAUAAAUGAUUAU